CUCCUGUUUUACUCGCUGCCUAGCUUUGACUUUUCCAUAGUAUUUAAACUGGGCACUGGCUUCAGAUCAGAUUUGCUGUUGAGCUUGGGAUUGUCAGUUCUAGAUGCUGCACUGGUUUCAUUUGCAGCAGAAUCUCUGGAAGAAUUAUCAGAAAAGCUUCCAUUGCCUCCAACAGAAAUCCUAUUUCUCUCUCAAUCCACAUACCAGUAGCCACUUUCAAUGUGCACAAAUAGAGGACUUAUAGCCAGGAAUGAAUCUCCCGCCAGAAUAAUUCUAAUUGCCCGACAAUGACGUUGAAAGCAUGAGGAAUAACAGUGUUGUGAGUAUUGAUUCAUGCCCAAUUGGUGUCUCAGUUGAUUCAUGUCCAGCUGGUGCUCCUUGUUUGAGGGAGUAAUCAACAAAAUUUAUAACCUAUUACACCAUAUACUAGGGUAGCAAAGAAAAAGCUACUAUAGUAUAGCGGCUCUAGGAUCGUUAACUGGGAAGGGUUUCCAAAUUACAAAUGAUACCAAUUCAAAGUGAAUUGGUACUUUUUCAUUUCAAGGUUAGCUCAAGAAAUAAAACAAAAACUUUGAUUGGUAAAGAUUUAGAUUUAAAAUGACUACAAAGCAAGUGAUGGAAAUUACUUAGGAAAAAAAACAUUCCUUGGAGGGUCAGGUUCACUGGGGAGGUUCCUCAUACAAAAGACAUAGCUCAGGCCAGUUGGUUCAUUUCCUCGCGUGAGAGAAUCAACAUAUAGUCAAUUCUCUAACCGGUGUUGUACAGAUACAUCCUUUAAUUAGAUUUCAGCUUUAAUUCUCUCACUGAUGCAACUUGCAACGGUUCGAGCCUCUCACUAAGCCUUAACCAUUCAAAGUGAUCUUUAACCUUGGACUUCCCUUCUCAAGCUCGCAAGAGAUAACUAAUGGAUGUCUCCUUGGAGUCCAAAAGCUUACCAAGUGUUGGCAAUUCCAGAAAAUCCUACCUUCAAGUCACCUCCCAGAGGCUCACAAGGGGUAAACUAGUGCAUCUCCAUGGUUGGAGAUCACUUGCCUUACCAAGUGUUGGCCUAGGUGACUCUAAGGUGUUUUAAGUUAACUAAAAACAUAGAAAUCACGAAAGGAUUUCACUUCCUUUUCAUUCAUGGAUGAAACCACAAAGCUCUGCAUUCUUGCACUUGGAACCUUUCCCGGCAACCUUAGCUCCAAGGAACUAAAGGUUUAGUUACUCAUUCUCUGGGGAAACUUCCUCAGAGAGUGCAUAACUUAGAAAAAAAAUAAAGAAUACAAAGUGAGAAGAUAAGGCAAAACAAAGGUCCUCUAUUUUACUUGCUUUCAAACUUUUACAUAAAAGGUUCCUCUCCGAGAACAGGCUCUCGAGAGCUAUUUAUAUCAACAAAAACAAAUACUAAUUAUUACAUGGAUAUUUACUCUUUUUACUAACUUAAAAGCUAAGGAAUCUUAUAAUUGGUGGCUAUCAAGGAGAAUUUUGGGAUUUAGACAACAAAAAUCUGAUGAAAAAUAUCUCCCAAUGUCGGUAGCAAAUAUUGGGAUGCACUAAGGAUCAUUUCGCAAGUGAAAAUGAUGUCUGCGAGAUUUCGCAGAUGCACAAAAAGGGCUGCAAAAUCACUUCGCAGCAAACGGCUGAUUUCGCAACGCUGCGAAGUGGUCUUUCAGCUUGUGGUAUUCGGCUUUCAUCGUGAUGGGAAACUUCAAGGGGGAAUCCACAGCACUGUACAAAAAGGCUGCGAAAUCAUCUCGCAACAAAAGGGUGAUUUCGUAGCGCUGUGCAAAAUUCUUCCUUCAGCUUGGAGUGAUUGGCUUGCAAUGGCUGUAACUCCUUCAUUUCAACUCCGAAUUGCGCAUCGUUUAAAGCAUUGGAUUUUUGAAUUCCUGAGCUUCGAAACGACAUAUAGCAUGUAUAAAUUAGACUUCAGAAAGUGCUCCAAAAGUGGCUGACAUGACUAUCAUCAAGAAUGCUUCAUGGCAGAUUUCUCUUUGCUUCUCCUCCUUGCAUUCCGGAUUUGCUUAUGACAAAGGACUUCAAAGCUUCGGUUCUUCAUGUUUCUGAGCUUUCCAUUGCUUUGCCAUAGAUUCCAAAUAACUCUCCUCAAUCUCGGAUUGCUUUGGUGAUAAAAAAGCUAUCAAAACACUAAAACUUAACACAAUUUGAUUAGAAUUGAUUGCAAGGAUCCUUAACAUGUUAAUUGGGUUAAAAGGCAAUAACUACUACUCAAAAGUGUUUAAAAGAGUUAAUUAUAAGCUAUGAAAUAGAACUUUUUGAGUAGUAAUCAAGUAUAAUUGGUACGGUCUCUUUUAUCAAUCCCUCUGCUUCCAUAAUGCGGAAAAAGGAUACCGAAACUCAGAAGAGAGCCCUCCAUAUGAAGGACAUGUCUAGCUGAAGUGUUGAAUUAAUUCUAUGGUGAAAUUUCGGCAAUGUGGAAGGAAUAAUGGCUGCAGAAACUAAAAGUGGAAGGAGUAGAGCGGCAUUGUUUUUAGACUUUUUAUGAUCAUCAUACAGAAAAACAACUCAGUAACUGAAGUUGAGUAUAUUGACAAAUCUGAGAAUGUACCUCCAACUGAUGGAACUGAGCAGCAACGCAGGAAAUCUGAUCUGCAAUUGAGACCUACUGCCACACUACAAGCUCUAGUUGAUGAUUCAAAUUAUGGUCUCGAG
rnacentral:lncRNA from 1 species